rnacentral:rRNA from 1 species
UAGGGAAUAUUGCAAAAUGGGCGAAAGCCCGAUGCAGCAACGCCGCGUGGGCGAUGAAGGCCUUCGGGUCGUAAAGCCCUUUUUGAGGGGAUGAGGAAGGACAGUACCCUCAGAAUAAGCCUCGGCUAACUACGUGCCAGCAGCCGCGGUAAAACGUAGGAGGCGAGCGUUAUCCGGAUUUACUGGGCGUAAAGCGCGUGCAGGCGGAUUGGAGAGUUGGAUGAGAAAGCUCCCGGCUUAACUGGGAGAGGUCGUUCAAUACUUCCAGUCUUGAGUGCAGUAGAGGGAAGUGGAAUUCCGGGUGUAGUGGUGAAAUGCGUAGAUAUCCGGAGGAACACCAGUGGCGAAAGCGGCUUCCUGGACUGUAACUGACGCUCAGACGCGAAAGCUAGGGUAGCAAACG